AGAAGACAAAGGCCACCUGGGACUCUUCAGGAGGUAAGGAUGGGGUACUGGGUGUCUUCUGUCACCUGGGCUGAAAUGCCAGGGCAGGGUGCUGGGUGUCUUCCAUGUCAUUACAUUUUUAGGGUAGAAAUUGGUGAUAACAUGACAGCAUGCUUUCAAGGGAUAUGUGGCCUCCCAUAGUUGUUUUGAUAAAUGCUGUCUAUUGGUUUUAGUGCUUGUAUCCUAGAACAGCAACCAGUUAGGAAUUCAUGGUAAAGCCUGAGGUUCCCUGAGAAACUACAGUGGGUUAGUACAGUCACAAGCUCUGGGGGUGCUGCAGUAACUAUAAUCAAUGAGUUAGUAUAAUCAGAGAUCCAGAGGGCUAUAGUGAUUACAAGCCAAUGAUUACAGUUAGUAUAACC
rnacentral:lncRNA from 1 species